rnacentral:tRNA from 1 species
UCGGGAUAGCUCAGCCGGUAGAGCAG